rnacentral:tRNA from 1 species
GUUGGUGUAGCUCAGUGGUAGAGUGCAUGCUUUGUAUGUAUGAUGACCUGGGUUCAAUCUCAAGCUUCUCUC